rnacentral:rRNA from 1 species
UGUUAAUAAUUUAUAUAAAAUAUUUUGAUGAAUAUUUAUAUAAUAUUAACAUAAUUCAUAUUACUAUUUUUUUUAGUAUAUGAAAUUUUACUUUGAGAAAAUUAGAGUGCUUAAAGCAGGCAUAUGCCUUGAAUACUCCAGCAUGGAAUAGUAUUAAAGAUUUUUAUCUUUCUUAUUGGUUCUAAGAUAAGAAUAAUGAUUAAUAGGGACAGUUGGGGGCAUUUGUAUUUAACAGUCAGAGGUGAAAUUCUUAGAUUUGUUAAAGACAGACUAAUGCGAAAGCAUUUGCCAAGGAUGUUUUCAUUAAUCAAGAACGAAAGUUAGGGGAUCGAAGACGAUCAGAUACCGUCGUAGUCUUAACCAUAAACUAUGCCAACUAGAGAUUGGAGGUUGUU